GGUUGUGAGGGCAAUCUGGCUGUGACAUCAAACGUUUGAUAGAUCUGGCUAUGACAUCUAUGAUUUGAUAGAUCAUAUGACAUCUAUCUAUGUCAUCUAUCAAUGACAUCCCAUUGAUCUCCAGGCUUAAUUUAGCUCAUCUGACUGGCAAGUUUGGUGUCCCCUUUCUCCCUCACUGCUUCAUCUGUGUUCCUCCCCAAGCUGUGUGCUUGGUCCUGAGAGGAUGCCCCUCCCCAAAUAGAGAUGGACUGGUCUUCUGCUUACCUGCUAGAACCUCUAUAUGAACUCUCAAGGUCCAUAUAUACAAUUUUUACUUCAUAUUUACUUAUAGAAAGUGAAUGUUU
rnacentral:snRNA from 1 species